AACAUUACAAAUCUUCAAAAAAGAAAAAUUGAUAUCAACGCUCUCGAGAAAAAAAAAAAAUCAAUCCUUCACAGAUUUCCCCUCCUCGCACAAAUUCCCCAAUUAAAGGACAUCGACGAUUUCUCUCCGUUCUCUCGCGACAACAAACGUUUCCUCCGACAUCACUCUCUCUCUCUCUCUCCCUCUCUCUCUCUCUCUCUCUCUCUCUUUGCAGAAGGAAGAGAGAGAAGGAUGGUCCAAUUUCGGGCGGCCGUCUCCCGGCCGUUUCGCGUGGUCCGAGCGCAAAUUACAAUUCAAAGCUCGUUAUCCCGAAAGCGGACGGUCGCGAAGAUACUCUCUCCAAUAAUCCUGCGAAACAAUUAUCGGCUGACAGCCCGUGUAAUUUCGCGGGAGAGAAACAAAGUUGGGAGGGGGAGGAAGGGGUAGGGUGGGUUGGAAGGGCCCCCCUCGUCGAUUACCCUGUCCCGUUGCUCGCUUCCGUACGGUAACGAUUGCAACACGGGACGGGAUCCUCGUGCUCGGUAAUUGCAUCUGGCCGACCGGUUUUGCUCGUUUUUCACCUCUGUCACCGUGCCGUGAUUCCAACCGAAACGAAAACGCCUUUCGUCAAACCGUGCGCGCCGCAGCCUUUUCGUCGGUCGUUUCGUGCACACGAGAGGGAUGGGGAGGAGGAAGGGGUUUGCUUCUUCCUCGAUUCCUCUUCUUCUUCUUCUUCUUCUCCUCCUCUCUUUCUUUCCUUUAUCAGCCACCUCGACCUUUGUUCCCAGCGGCUGUUCGUCGCCGUUGUGAUGGACACAAUGUCUGCUCGGGCCUUGCGCGGUACUUAAUAGCUAGGGAUUAUUGUUCGGCGUGACCGGGCUUGGUUAGUUGACCGACCAAGCAAUUUAUUCGUGGAUACGAGUCACGUGCGGGGGAGAAAUUUUUUUCGCCAUCCGCGGUAAUCGAGACACGAACGGAGUGGCGGGAUUUUGCAAUUAGAUGUGUGAUUAUGAUAUCUUUGAUGACACGCGUGCACGCGAAUGGAUUAGGUUUUUUUUCUUUUUUUUUUUCUUAUUAGAUAUGUUAAGAUGUUGCGUGAUGUAUGAACGGUUGCUAAUUUUAAUUUUAAGCCGGAUGUUUUGUUUUAGCAGUAUUAUUAGGAUUGGGUUUUUUUCCUCCUGAAAAUUGCUAACGAUUUAACAGUUUGUUUUAAUUGUAAGUGUAUUUAUAAAUUAAGCGAGCGAGUUGUUUGGAAUAGCUGUUUAUAUGAUCGGAGGAAAAAGUUGGCGUAGUAUGACGUUGUGCGUAUAUUUAUUUGCUUGUGGCUUUGCUUGUGGUUAUGGAAAUGGAAUUUAUUUGAAUUUUGAGUAUUUUCUGGGAGCAUAAUUAGCGUUUGCGGUAGAAAAUCGUUUAGAUUUUACGUAGCGUGUAAUAGAUAAUUUAUUAGAUGUUUGUUUAGUUUGAUUAUAACAAAUGGAAAGUAAUAUAUCAUUGAAAAAUAUUAAAAAAGAAUUUUACAAUUAGUUUGAUCAAAUUGCAAUAUUUUUCAAAAUUUGUUUCUACAUUAGGGGGAAAUUGCAAAUUGAAUCAAAGAUAAAAAGAGAGAACAAUUUAUAGAAAUAAUCUCAUAAUGAAUAAAGAAGACAUUGUCAUUCUUAAUGAACACAAAGACUUGACACACUUUAUUCUUAUAAAGCAUUUUUUUCUUCAAUCUCAAGGGAUAAUACUUCUUACUACAACAGAAUUAGGUCAAGUUUCUGUUAUAAAAAGGAAGAACACUAAAUCUUGAAAUACCUCUUCCCUUUAUCAGACAAAGGAUUCAUAAAAAAUAUUAUGCGACACUCAAAUGCUUGCCAUAAUCUGUAGCGAGGAAAAUUAUAUUUAUAUCCUUGAAAAUACAUCGAAAAGAAGAAAUGAUUAUGAUUCAUCGCGGUAUUUUAUUUUAAUAAAAAAAAAAAA
rnacentral:lncRNA from 1 species